ACACUGCUGAGGAGUCCCAUAAUAGGACGAAACAGCCGUCCAAUGU
rfam:Schistosoma rodhaini strain Burundi genome assembly, scaffold: SROB_scaffold0016089